GACCAGGAAUUUAGUCCUGGCGCUUGGGUAUUUGUCAGCCCGUUUUCAAAGGUGCCUGGGCGAUGGGUGCGGAGCGCUGUUCUGUCCGGAGGCAGCACAGGAGUGGAGAUGAGCGGAGAGCUGUGUGACGGUGCCUUAGGUUCCCUAUACCCGGCUGCUCUUUGGACACGCUCCCUGCCCAUGGCUGAGCGUACGCCGCGGAAGUCCACUGUGACAGACGUGAUGAGGAGAAGCGCCGCCCUGCCCCCAGCGGGCUCGGGCCACCCAUGUGCUCUAUAAGCGGAAUGCAGAGUCUGGCCUGGCAGCACGUUAAGCAGCUGCUGUGUCUGAUGGGCCGGAGGCCUGACCUGCUGUGCGGGGGCCAUAGCGCUGACCUGCGCCCUCCUCGUGGCUCUCAGGUUCACCUGCAGAAUAUCCAGUUGUUCCUACACUGUAUCUACUGCCUAAAGUACAUAAAGAUCUGGUAAAUCCACCCGGCAGACCCAUCAUUGCCGGUAUCAACAGCUUGGGCGACACGAUCUGCAAAUAUGUUGAUUACUUCCUGCAACCCUUGGUGGAAGAAUUACCGUCACAUCUUAAGGAUACGAUGGACAUUUUAAGGAAGGUGGAAGACAUCCAUCUGGAACCAGAUAUGCUCAUCGCCACAUAUGACAUGGAAUCAUUGUAUACAUCGAUUAGACACAAGGAUGGUUUAGAAGCAGCAGCAUUUUUCCUCAACAGUACCAAUAUGGGAUUACACAUAUGGGAUUUGGUACCUGCGGAUCUUACAUAUGCCCUGGAUCAUCUGGCCAUUCUAUAUUUACAAUCUGGAUCGGGUUGACAACCAUGCGAAUACAGAGAAGAGAGUGCUAUCUGAUAUAUUUUUAUAUUUCAUUGAUGGUUUUAUUCAUUAUGGGGGGUAGCCUUUGGAUAUGUAGUACAGCGUAUGUUAAGAAAUUUAAAAUCACUGCAUGUCACCUGCAUGUUUCACUUGCACUGCACUGCACUGCACUAUCACAACUUCUUCACAGCAGUAUGUACUGUUUUUUUGGCAUCACGCAGCACUUGUUAUUAUAUGCAUUAUAUAAGUACUUUUAUGAAUAUAGUAAGUACUUUCUUCUACUUGUUCUUUAAUAUAUGCUCACAUGUAUUGUGUUUUACUAGAAAUAUUAUGGAGGGCCAUGCUUGGUACCCUCUGUGGAUGUGGAAUGGGUAUAGCGCAUAAUUGUAAUGACCGGUGUCACGCACAGAGAGGAAAACAGGGAAAGCCCUGCCUAAGGGAGAGGGAAAGGUGGUGACCCCUAACUCACCUUGCGGCUGG